rnacentral:rRNA from 1 species
CCCUGACCUCGGAUCAGAUGUGAAUACCCGCUGAACUUAA